AAUGACUGGCACCUCACAGGAACUUACUACAUAGUAGUUAGUACCACUUCAAAAUAGAAUUUCCACUAGCAGUUCUCUGGCCACAUUCUGCUGUAUUCGGCAAUCACCAUGAGAGUCCCGAGAUCCUUCGCAGAGCCAUUUACACAGGUGUUCGCAGAGUAACUUAAAUGGUACCAUACGAAGUGAGAUUUCUUUUCAGUCCCAGGACAUUUAAACAGAUGUUCUACAGGGUCUUAGUUGUGACUCAAGGACUUGAGACAGUAAGUACCCUGUGUGCCUUCUCCUUCUCAUCACCCCCAGGAUCAGGUACCAGCAACGUAUUAAGGUGCUGGUUGGAUUGACUUGGCAUCUGGAAGAAAUGUGUCAAAGGAGACCGGUAUGAAGGAGAGGGCACCCUUGCUGUCCAGGGUGCCAGGAAUUGUGUGCCCAGCCCUGCACCACCCUGCUCAGCUCCACGGGGCUCUACCAGGAGCAACUCUCCGCACCUUGGUUUUAGAGGACUUGGGAGUCUGGUGUACCGCAUGACAGCAGCUCCUGGACCAGGGACAGUAGUGCAGCCGCAGUCUGGGAGACACAUGGGGUGGUUAACGCACCCACGAGGAUGCACGAGGCCCGGGUCAUGGGGUACAAGGAAGGAAGAAGGGAGACCCCUAAGGGCUGAGGAGCCGCGUGGCUCUGAAGAAGUGGGGCUGCUUUCUGCCUCUGGAAGCAUCACUCUGGGAGGUGACAACCUGGUUCCCAGACUGUACAGCUCUUUCAUCCCACUGCUCAGUACCUGUCCCUACCCUGGGCCAACACCCAGUGUCCAGGAGGGAUCACCACAGUAUCUUCCCAAGGCUGCGGAGACCGGCGGCGGCGGAGAGUGGAGAGAGAGGCCCAGGCUUCUGCUCAGCCCUCCUUUUUCCUUCUUGGCACCUAUCCUCCCUUACUAUCCACGCUCUCCCCAAAGGAGGGGAGCUGCCACACCAUUCCCAAUCCUCCCAGACGUUCUUAGCCAGUGGCACUUUCCUAAAUGAAGCCAGGGCCGUGUUUUGGUCUGAUGACUCAUGAUUUUUAGACAGGCUGAACCAAAAGUGUUAAAAAGCGGGUCUUGGGGUCUAACUUUAUCAGAUACCAGCCCUCAGUGCUUCAUGUUUCAUGGGAUUUGCUCUGGAUGGAAGCUGACCUAGCCACAGUGAAACUGUGAUAAGGGAAAAAGACCUGCUGGUGAGGACAGAUGACUGUCCACCAUGACUGUUUUGUCAGAGCCCAGGCUCAGAGGCCAGCCUGGGCUCUGCCUGUCAGUCGGAUGCUCUGUCUUGGACUCAUGUGCUGGGGCUCAACUCUUGUCUCUCACUGACCCUGGGCUUGGUGACUGGUGGGCUUGGCGGAUGAGCUUGGCCCUGCUGUUGUCCAGGGCCUGUGGGGACUCUCUCACCGUCUUGGGUCUGCUGGAUCUUGCAGGUUCACUGCCCACACCCUCUAGUAGACUGUUCCAAGGCUUUUCUUCAUGGGAAACAAGGCCUGCCAAGCCUUUCCCUGGCCCACCACCAACUCUUAAGUGAGGACAUUGCUGGGGGUGCUUUGCUUUGGGCCGAGGCAGGCAGUAGAGGGACCUAAGGAAGCCCUGGACUAGCAGGCCCGUAUUGACUUGAUGGGUGACCAAGGCCAGAAACUGGGUGCGGAGGCCGUGAGGUCCCUUUAAGACUGCCAGCCAUGGUUCUAGGAAAACUCUCCAGGGGGUUUUAUUGCCCCGGCUCCUUCUGCCCAUUUGAGGUUGCUGCUGUGGGGCUUAACACAGUACUGAAGGACAGAAACAAAGGUCCCCUUGUCCAUCCAGGAAACCAGGGAGGGGGAGGGUGGAAGGAAAGACAGCUUCCGGCAGUCCUGAGGCGUUCCCGGGGGCAUAGAUCACAGUCCAGAGGGAACUAGGCCUUUGCUGCAAGCCUUCCUGGAAAGCCCUGUUGCUCUUCCUUCUUCGGUCUGCCUCACCACCUGGACUGAAGCUGCAAAAACACAAAGUUCAGCUCACAAAGUGAGGCACAAACUUGUCCCAAGGGUCUCUGGUGGCCUACCUCCUGUUUUCUCCCCAACACUGCUGGAGAAAGACCCCAAGGGAACAUUAGAGCCUCAGCCUCUCACUGUGACCAAGGAGAGCUCCAGCCCUGAGCCUUCGUGCUGAGAUGUCAGCCUCCUGCUCAGGUUCCCCUGCUGGUAGCGCGCCAGAGGGCCACUCUUCUAAAGGAGACGUGGAGUCUAGCUGCAAUUUACAGGAGAGAAGAGAGACCCAGCUCUUUAGGGGGCUUUAGGGCUUAUGGGACAAGGCCACUCUACUUACCUGGAAGGCAGUCAUCAUCUCAGUGGAUAUAGCCUCUCCCACAGGUGCUCAUAGCACUCCCCAGUUCACAAAGCCUUCCCAUAACUUCUGGUCCUGUUGGCUCAUGACAGCUUUGGGAGUUGACUGGGCCACUGGCAGAAUUUAAAGGAUAUGGACUUACAUUAAAGCCAGAUAUAUUUGGAUUCAAAGACCUGACCUCAGGAUGCCUGGCUGGCACAGUUGGAAGAGCAUGCAACUCUUGGUCUCAGGGUCAUGAGUUUGAGCCCCAUGUUGGGUGUAGAGACUAUUUAAACAAACAAACAAACUUAAGGAAAAGAAAAAAAGACCUGACUUCACCACAUAGCCAUUGUAGGCCACUGGGUAAAUUGCUUUUUUCCCCAUACAGAUAUCCCAUAAUCCCAGCACCAUUUGUCCUUCCCCCACUGCUCUGCAGUGCCACCUUUGUCAUGAAGCAAAUGUCCUGACCUGUGAGGGUCUAUUUCUGGACUCUAUUCUGGUGUGUUGCUCUAUUAAUCUAUCCUGUGGCAAACCAUAUGGUCUUAGUAUACCUUUCAAUUACUUUUAUUCCCUUUCUUCAUGAGUGUCUUGGCUAUUCUUGGCUGUUGCAUUUCCAUAUGAAUUUUAUAAAUUUUUAAAGUUUAUUUAUUUUGAGAGAGACAGAGACAGCACGAGUGGGGGGAGGGGCAGAGAGAGAGAGGGAGAGAGAGAGAGAGAGAGAGAGAGAGAGAAUCCCAGGCAGGCUCUGUGGGGCUUGAACUCACAAACUGUGAGAUCAUGACCUGAGCUGAAACCAAAAGUCGGGCUUUUGACCGACUGAGCCAUCCAGGUCCCCUCCAUAUAAAUCUUAUAAUCAGCUUGUCAAGUUCCACCAAAAAUCACCACCACCAUUACCCCACUUACUGAGGUUCUGAUUGAAAUUAUGUUAAGUCUAUGGAUCACUAUAAGGAGACUUGAUACCUUUAAAACACUGAGCCUUCCCCUUUCACGCAGAUGGCGCCAAAGGCAAAGAAGGAAGCCCCUGCUCCUCCCAAAGCCAAGCCAAAGAAAAGGAUUUGAAGGCCAAGAAAGCAGUGCUGAAAGGUAUCCACAAUCACAAAAAAAGAUCCACAUAUCACCUACAUUCCGACUGCCCAAGACACUGUGUCUCUGAAGGCAGCCCAAAUAUCCUCAAAAGAGGGCCCCCAGGAGAAACAAACUUGACCACUAUGCCAUCAUCAAGUUCCCCCUGACUAUGGAGUCACCCGUAAAGAAAAUAGAAGGCAACGACACACUUGUGUCAUUGUGAAUAUCAAGGCCAGCAAGCACCAGAUCAAAGAGGCUGUGAAGAAGCUCUAUGACAUUGACAUGGCCAAGGUCAACACUCUGAUGAGGCCCGAUGGAGAGAAGAAGGCAAAUGUGUUUGACUGGCUCCUGACUAUGAUGCUUUGGAUGUUGCCAACAAAAUUGGGAUCAUCUAAACUGAGUCCAGCUGGCUAAAUCUAAAUAUUAAUUUUUUCACCAUAAAGAAAAGAUUAAAUAAAACAUUGAGCUUCCAAUCUAUAAACACAAUGUAAUCCUCUUUUGGCUUAGGUCUUUUUAAAUCUAUAUUUAGAGGUCUUUACACAUUAUUAUUUUUUCCUAGCUAUUUGAUAUAUUUAUACUGUUAUAAAUAAUAGCCUUUUAAAAUUUAUUUUUCUGUUGUUGCUGGUAUAUGGAAAUGCAAUAGAUUGACCCUGUAUUCUGUAAUCUUGUUAAUUAAUUCUAAUAAUUUUUCUACAUUCUUUUGGAUUUUCUAAGUACACUUUCUUAUCAUCUGCAAAUGAGGUGUCUUCCUUUCCAAUCCUUAUAGCUUUUAUCUCUUGCCUCCAUUACAAUGUUGAGUAGAAGUAGUAGAGGUAGGGUUUUCCCCCCUUAUAUUUGCUUUAUGUUUUGGUUGUUCUAAAUCCAGAUAUGUGAAGGAAAACCUUUACUAAUUCACCAUUGAGAAUAUUUGCUGGGGACGCCUGACUGGCUCAGUCUGUAGAGCAUAUGACUCUUGAUCUCAGGGUUGUGAGUUUAAGUCCCAUGCUGGGCAUAGAGCUUACUUUUAAAAAAAUGAUAUUUGAUGUAGUUUUAUGUAGCUAUUUGUUACCAUAUUAAGAAAAUUCCCUCUGUCCCUUUUUUGCUAAGAGGUUAUUUCCCCUAAUUAUGAAUUGAUGUUGAAUUUCAUUAAGUUUUUUUUUUAAUUUCUUUUAAUGUUUAUUUAUCAUUGAGAGACAGAGAGGCAGGCACGGAGUGUGAGCAGGGGAGGGGACAGAGAGAGGGGGAGACACAGAAUCCGAAGCAGGCUCCAGGUUCUGAGCUGUCAGCACAGAGCCUGACGUGGGGCUCGAACUCACAAACUGUGAGAUCAUGACCUGAGCUGAAGUCAGUCACCUAAUCAACUGAGCCACCCAGGUGCCCCUUAUUAAUUUUUUUUUAGCAUCUAUUAAAGUGAUGAUGUGAUUUUUCUCCCUUAUUUUUUUUUAAAUGUUUAUUUAUUUUGAGAGAGAGAGAGGUGCAUGGGCCAGAGGGGGAGGGGCAGAGGGAAGGAGAGAGAGAAUCCCAAGCGGACUCUGUGUUGCCAGCACAGAGCCCAAUGUGGGGCUCAAUCUCAUGAACUGUGAGAUCAUGACCUGAGCCCAAAUCAAGAAUUGGACACUCAACUAACUGAGCCACCCAGGCACCCCUCCCUUAUUAUUUUAAUGGAGGUGAAUUGCUUGAAUUGGUUUUCAAAUCUUAAACCAACCUUGCAUUCCCUAGAACAGAACCAAUUUAGUCAUUAUCUAUUAACCUUUUUACAUACUGCAAGAUUUGGUUGAUUAAUCUGUUGUUUUGGAUUUUUACAUUUAUAUUCACAAAUGAGAUUGGCAGGUAAUUUUCCUUCUCAUAAAAUCCUCUUCAGGUUUUCAUAUCUCUGAAGGAGUUAUUUUUCCUUUUCAUUUCAAUCUUAUAUAAGUCUGUUCAAGGAAAAACAUUUUGGUUUUGGUUCUAUUGUACUUUAUUUCCAUUUCAUUCAUUUCUGAUCUAAUUUUUAAAAUUUCCUUCUACUUUAUUUGGGUAUAAUUUUCUUUUCUUCUCAUGGUUUGAGAUGAAAGCUUAGCUCUUGAUAUAUAUUUAAAUACAUUCAUUUAUAAAUUUCCCUCUAAGCACAUAUUUAAUUGUAUUUUACAAUUUUAUGUGUCAUGUUUCUUACUAUAUAGUUUCUACUUAAAAAUUUUUUUCUAAUUCCAAUAGACUUUUUUUCUUUCAUCCAGUGAUGACAUAGAAAUAUACUUUUUAGGGGUACCUGUGUGGCUCAGUUGGUUGAGUGCCCAACUCUUGAUUUUGACUCAGGUCAUGAUCCCAGGGUUGUGGGAUUGAGUCCUGUGUCAAGCUCCAUGCUGAGCAUGGAGCCUGCUUGAGAUUCUUUCUCUCUCCCUCUUCCUUUGCCCCUCUCCCCUGCUCAUGAUCUCUCUCUCUUUAAAAAAGAGAGCAAGGAAGAAAGAAAGAAAAGCUAAAAAAAACACAAAACACCAAAAACAACUAAGCCCUAAAAAAAAAAUGUACUUUUUAAAUGUCCUACCAUAUGUGGAGAUAUGAUCAUGUGACUGCCAGUUGAUUCACAAGUUGGACCUGGGCAAUCAGAGACUCCUCACCCUCUCCCCUGUCCUUGGAAUGCACACUUGAGCCUACUAUUCCAACAGUGGAAGCUGUUGCAAGGACAUAGCCUUGAGAAAUUAAGGUGUUGCUGACACAAUCUGGACAGUAUACAUGACUAAACCCAGAUAAGGCCUCUACAUAAACUUUUUUUUUUUUUAACGUUUUAUUUAUUGUUGAGAGACAGAGACAGACCACGAGUGGGGUAGGGGCAGAGACAGAGGGAGACACAGAAUCAGAAGCAGGUUCCAGGCUCUGAGCUGUCAGCACAGGGCCCAUUGCAGAGCCCAAACCCACAAGCAAGCCUCCACAUAAACUUUAAGAUUUGCAUAUGGGUGCAGAAAUCUACUCCUUUUGAACUGGCCUAAGACAAGUCUAAUAAAUAAAUCUCCUUGCUUAUUCAAACUGCCACUUACCAAUCUGGAGUGGUCUGACUUUUUCUUCUGUCUCUCCCUGCCCUUUGUGUACUGUAGCCACACCCAGGAAGCUCCUACACUUAAAAAAAAAUUUUUUUUUUUACAUUUAUUCAUUUUUGAGAAACAGAUAGAGACAGAGCACAAGUGGGGGAGGGGCAGAGAGAGAGGGAGACACAGAAUCCGAAGCAGGCUCCAGGCUCUGAGCCGGCAGCACAGAGCCUGCCGCGGGGCUCGAACCCGUGGACGGUGAGAUCAUGACCUGAGCUGAAGUCAGGCGCUCAACCGACUGAGCCACCCAGGAGCCCCCAGGAAGCUCCUAAAUUUUUAAUCAGUACGUGGGGUUUCAAAACGUAUCAGACGUUUUGUUUGUUAUGGCUUUCUAGUUCAAUUUCAUUGUAAGCAGAAAGCAUCCUCAGUAUGAUAUCGAUCCUUUGAAAUUUAUUGAGACUUCUUCCUUUGUGGCCCAGAAUAUGGUCAACUUUUGCAAAUGUUCUUCUAUGCAUAAAAAGACAAUGUAGUCAGAAUUUUGGAGGACAGUAUUCUGUGUAUGCCCAUUAGGUCAAAUUUGCUAAUUGUAUAGUUCAAAUAUUACAUAGCCUUAAUAAAUGUUAGAUAUCAAUUCUUCUAUACCCUUUACUUGUUAAAAAUAUUCCACUAUGAUUGUGCAUUUUUCUGGUUAUUCUUGUAAUUCUACUGAUUCCUACCUUUCAUGUUUUGAGGCUAUAUUAUUAGAAGCUUCCAAAUUUAGAAUUAUUAUAUUUUCUUGGCUUACAGCUUUUGCCUUGAAGUCAACUCCAUCUGGCGAUUAGAUAGCGGUGAUAGUUGCAUAUCUUGUGAGUAUACUAAAAAUAAAUUAUUAAGUUGUACACUUUAAAAGGUCUGAGCAAACCUACUUUCUCUGAUAUUGAUAUAGCUACAUCUGCUUUCUUUUGGUUAGAAUCUUCUUGUUCUAUAGUUUUCCAUCCUUUAAACUCUUCUGUAUCCUUAUGUCUUACCUGUGUCUCUUAUAAAUAGCAUAUAGUUGUUUUUAAACCCAAUCUAAAAAUCUUUGUAUCUUAACUGGAGAAUUUCUUCCAUUUAUAUUUGGAGUAAUUAUUGAUAUAUUUCAGUCUAAACCUAACGCUUUUUUCCCCUUGUAUUUGAGAGAUGGUCGGGGGCCACAAGUGUGAGCUAGGGAGGGACAGAGGGAGGGGGAAAGGGAGAGAGAGAAUCUUAAGCAGGUGCCACACCCAGUGCAGAGCUGGAUGCCGGGCUUGACCUUGUGACCAUGAGAUCAUGACUUGAGCCGAAAUCACAAGUUGGCCACUCGCCCACUUGAGCCAUCCAGGCAUCCCUAAAUCUAUCACUUUAUGAAGUGUUUUCUAUUUGUCUCACAUGCAACUAUAUUCAUUUUUCUCUCCUUCCUUGACCUAUUUUUUUAAUUGAUUAUAUAUUUUUAACUUUUCAAUGUUUCCCCUCUGUUGGCUUGGAAAUUAUGCAUUCUUUUACUAUUUUUUUAGUAGUUAUUUAGAGGGAUUACCAAAUCAAUCCUUGAUUUUUUGAAGACUAAUAGGAAUUUACCUUUUUCCAGAACAACGCAAGAACCUUGGAACACUUCAACUCCUUUUAUGCCUUCUUGACUUCUAUGUUGUUGUUGUCAUGCAUUUCAAUUUCACUAUAUUUAAAACCUCCUGACAGGGGCACCUGGGUGUCUCAGAUGGUUAAGUGUCCAACUUUGGCUCAGGUCAUGAUCUCAUGGUUUGUGAGUUCGAGCCCCAUGUUGGGUUCUGUGCUGAUAGCUCAGAGCCUGGAACCUGCUUCAGAUUCUAUGUCUCCUCUCUCUGUCCUUCCCCCCCACAUGCUCUGUCUCUCUCUCAAAAGUAAACAUUAAAUUUUUUUUAAAGCCUCACAAGAAAUUAUUAUUGGUAUUGUUUUACAGUCAGUAUCAAUCUGAGUUUAUCCACAUAUUUACCAUUUUCAUUGCCUUACAUUCUUUUCUGCAUUUUCAAGCUUCCAUCUGGAAUCAUUUUCCUUUUGCCUGAACAACAUUUUCAGUGUGGCUCACUUGGUAGCAGAUUUUCUUUUUCUAUUUGUCUGAAAAUGUCUUUAUUUCACCUUCAUUCUUUCUGGAUAAAACUUUUAGAACGCAAAAUUCCAAACAAGUGCAAAAAUAGAGAGGCCGGUAUAAUGAACUUCUGUGCCCAUGAUUAAACUUCAAUAAUUAUCCACAUGUACUCCAUUUGUUUCACUCCACCUAUCCCCACCCAGUCUCAGAUUAUUUCAAAGCAAAUAUCUGAUAUCCUAAUGUUUCAUCUGUAAACUUUUCAUCUGUAAAUAUUUACUAUCUAUCACUGAAGGAUAAUACUCUUUUUAAAAAACCAAAUAAUAAUAAAAUUCCUUA